rnacentral:rRNA from 1 species
CUGGCGCCUGAGGAUGAGCCUGCGGCCCAUCAGCUAGUUGGUAGGGUAAUGGCCUACCAAGGCGAAGACGGGUAGCUGGUCUGAGAGGAUGAUCAGCCACACUGGAACUGAGACACGGUCCAGACUCCUACGGGAGGCAGCAGUGGGGAAUCUUGCGCAAUGGGCGAAAGCCUGACGCAGCGACGCCGCGUGAGUGAUGAAGGCCUUCGGGUUGUAAAAGCUCUGUGGAGGGGGACGAAUAAGGGCUGGCUAACAUCCAGCUUGAUGACGGUACCUCUUUAGCAAGCACCGGCUAACUCUGUGCCAGCAGCCGCGGUAAGACAGAGGGUGACAAACGUUGUUCGGAAUUACUGGGCGUAAAGCGCGUGUAGGCUGCUUCGAAAGUCGGAUGUGAAAGCCCUGGGCUCAACCUAGGAAGUGCAUUCGAAACUUCGAAGCUGGAGUCCUGGAGAGGAUAGCGGAAUUCUCGGUGUAGAGGUGAAAUUCGUAGAUAUCGAGAG